UGAGGAGUACAUCCAGGGCUAAGAGACCUUGCUAAAAUGGCUUUUGCCAAAAGAAAGAGCUCCUUCACCUAGGCAAGAGGUGUCCGCUGGAAGCCCCAGAAUAGAUUCCACUUUUACCAUUAGCUGGAGGUUCUCUCUAACUUGGUAAAUAGAAACCAGAGAAUUAAUUGGGAAUGACUGAAGCCAUGCCAUGGACUCAACCGUAUAUGAUUAUGAACAUUCACAUAAACAUCAUCGUAAUUCAACAAAUAUAGAACACCGCACUGGCACACCUCAGAGAUAUUAUGGGUUUGGUUCCAGAUGACUGCAAUGAAGGAAAUCUCACAAUAAGCCUCCUUUGCAGGUAGACCAGAGACACACAAUUGAUUUUGGACAAGCGACUCUGAUCAGAAGUGUCACGUAUCAUGCUCAAGUCAAGACAGUUAACUAGAGGACCUUCCCUCUUCCCCUUCAAUGGUGACCUUAAAGGCCUUAUGUUCAAGUUGUGCAGCUAUAAGAUGGCGAAGUCUUUGCCUGGGUCUCUAAGUGAUUGUAUGGAACAGAGCCUCCUGCCAAGCCACACUGAACAUGUAAUAUGUGCAAAAACAAAAACAAAAACAAAAAUACCCUUGUAGUCUUAAGCCAACUAAAAUUUGGAAGUUAGUAUAUCAAAGUCUAUUCUGUCCUGAACAAUACAGCCACUUGUACUGCAUAUGGUACUCCUUUGUACUGCACCACAAUCCCUGUUCUCCUGUUAAAGGAUAUUUAAAUUGUUUCUCAUUUUUAACUGUUAUAAAACAAUGCUACCAGGACGUUCUUACACAUUUAUAUACAUGCACAAGAGUUUUUCUAGGAUACAUAGCUAGAAUUGAUUUUUAAGUUGUAGGGUAUAUAUAUAUUCCACUUUACUAGCUGUAUCCCAAAUGUUCUCCAUCAGAAUUACAACAGUCUAUAUUCCCAUAAUUGGUAUAAUAAAAUCCCUGUCACAUCCUCA